rnacentral:rRNA from 1 species
UACAGAGGGUGCGAGCGUUGUCCGGAAUCACUGGGCGUAAAGGGCGCGUAGGCGGCUUUUCAAGCGUGCGGUGAAAGCUCGGGGCUUAACUCCGAGUCUGCCGUGCGAACUGGGGAGGCUUGAGUCUGGUAGAGGUCGAUGGAAUUCCCGGUGUAGCGGUGGAAUGCGUAGAGAUCGGGAAGAACAUCGGUGGCGAAGGCGGCCAGCUGGGCCGUUGCUGACGCUGAGGCGCGACAGCGUGGGGAGCAAACAGG